UGCGUAAAAUGUGUAAGAAACAAGAACCUAUACAGUAUGGUAAGAAUCAUGGAAUUUCAGAGCUAGAAAGGGAUGUAACCAAAUGCAGCACCUGAAAGAGGAACAGGAACAUUUUUUUGAGCACCUCAUAUGUCUCGGGCAAUAUCCUUAAAACUAUAUAAGUGUUCUCUAUGUAUCCUCUAACAAGGGAAGUGAAUAUUAUUACUCCCAACUUGUGGUUUUCUCACUUCAGCCACCCUGAGCCAUCUUCGUUUCUUGCCAAUCUGUUUCAGGCUCCAUUGCCCACUCCAGUUAGAAUGUCUUGUUCUUUCUCACAACCACCUGACUUAAUGGGUAACUCUGUGAAACUCCAGAACCGCCUCCCCUGUGAAAGCUUUCCUGACCUCUGCUAUUUGCCAGUUCCAGGUAGAAUGGACUAAUUUGUACCCCAUGCUACUCUUUGUAGACUUCCAGAACUACACAUAUUACCCUAUUACAAAGACUUCCUUACAUGCUUGUCUGCCUCUACUGCAUUGCAAGAGGCUUAAGAGGAGGGACCAUGUCACAUUAUUUUCUUACAAUAUAGUGUCAAGCAAUGUGCUUUACCUAUAGUGAGUACUGAGUAAAUGAAUGAAUAACUUAGCCUAGAAUCUAGUAAGUGGUAGAGUUGGGGGCUUGAGACCAGGCUCAAAUCUCAGGUGCCUGAAAACCCAAGCUUCUUAGUUUUAUCUACAUUUAAGUUUUGGUCGUCUUUAACAUAGGAAAAAUACUGUUUAUUUGUUUAUUUUUUUGGUUGCACUGUUGUUGUUGUUGGUUUUUUUAAGUGGGAACUGGGAGGUGAUGUGAACUAUGAGUAUUAAAUAAUACAUAAUUCCAAUCAUUAUGCUGGAUACCUAGAAAAGUCAUUUUCCUUGCCUUAUAUUAUCUUAUUCAAAGUUGUAUUACAAGUGACAGAGCUAGGAUCCAAACGACCACGUUACCUUUUCAUCACAGGUGCUUUCCAGAUCAAAUCUAAUGUUGCUUAUUUGGGGUGAGCUUCAGGCUUCUUCGCAUUUAUUAGUUAUUUUACUUUUUUCUGUUUUGGCAGAUAUUAAACUUGAUUAUAGUAGAAGAUAGUAUAAGCAGCGGGGCACUGAAAAGCCUCAGGCGAGUAGGAACCAUGGCUUCUUCAUCUGUACACGCCUGUCCCCUACUAAGUGCUUAAUAAAAAUUUGUGGAACUCAGUGCAUUGGUCAACUUAAAUCUAGAUGGUUUCCUGGAUCUUCAUGAGCAGUCUUAUGAAAAAAUGCAGGUAGCUAAAAAAAAAAAAAAAAAAAAAAAAACAGAACAGAAAAUGGAGAACUGUUCAGUGUGUGGACCUAUAUAAAAGGAUAUUUGAUUCUAGAGUGGAAAACUUAAAAGUGAAAUCAGGACAGGACAAGCAAGAGAAUGCGUUUAAGUAGCAGUAACGUCAUCAAGACAAAGAUUGUUGAGAGGCUCUAUGAUCAAUACAUAAUGCUCUGAAGACAAAUUUAGGUACUUGAUGAUGACACUAUUUUGCUUGAUUUGUUGGGCAUGUUAAUGUGUGAUAUUUCUACUAGAAGUUCAGCAAGAGCAGAAAAUAAAGAAAACAUUACCAUCUCUCUAGCCCAAUGGAUGUUAGCAGAAGGGAAGAAAGUAAGUGUAAACAGAGACUUGGCAUCCAACAUCUACAUGUGUAAUUUAUAUUUUUGAAUCCUAAUAUUAAGACUUUUACAAACUA